AACGAACGCUGGCGGCAUGCCUAACACAUGCAAGUCGAACGAGACCUUCGGGUCUAGUGGCGCACGGGUGCGUAACGCGUGGGAACCUGCCCUUAGGUUCGGAAUAAUUCCCCGAAAGGGGUGCUAAUACCGGAUAAUGUCUUCGGACCAAAGAUUUAUCGCCUUUGGAUGGGCCUGCGUUGGAUUAGCUAGUUGGUAGGGUAAAAGCCUACCAAGGCGACGAUCCAUAGCUGGUCUGAGAGGAUGAUCAGCCACACUGGGACUGAGACACGGCCCAGACUCCUACGGGAGGCAGCAGUGGGGAAUAUUAGACAAUGGGCGAAAGCCUGAUCCAGCAAUGCCGCGUGAGUGAUGAAGGCCUUAGGGUUGUAAAGCUCUUUUACCCGGGAUGAUAAUGACAGUACCGGGAGAAUAAGCUCCGGCUAACUCCGUG
rnacentral:rRNA from 1 species